ACAAGGCUGUCGCUUCACACUUGGAGGGUU
rnacentral:piRNA from 1 species